rnacentral:rRNA from 1 species
UACGGAGGGGGCUAGCGUUGUUCGGAAUUACUGGGCGUAAAGCGCACGUAGGCGGCUUUGUAAGUUAGAGGUGAAAGCCCAGGGCUCAACCCUGGAAUUGCCUUUAAGACUGCAUCGCUUGAACAUCGGAGAGGUAAGUGGAAUUCCGAGUGUAGAGGUGAAAUUCGUAGAUAUUCGGAAGAACACCAGUGGCGAAGGCGACUUACUGGACGAUUGUUGAGGCUGAGGUGCGAAAGCGUGGGGAGCAAACAGG